rnacentral:rRNA from 1 species
GACGAACGCUGGCGGCGUGCUUAACACAUGCAAGUCGAACGGAAAGGCCCUGCUUUUGUGGGGUGCUCGAGUGGCGAACGGGUGAGUAACACGUGAGUAACCUGCCCUUGACUUUGGGAUAACUUCAGGAAACUGGGGCUAAUACCGGAUAGGAGCUCCUGCUGCAUGGUGGGGGUUGGAAAGUUUCGGCGGUUGGGGAUGGACUCGCGGCUUAUCAGCUUGUUGGUGGGGUAGUGGCUUACCAAGGCUUUGACGGGUAGCCGGCCUGAGAGGGUGACCGGCGUCUGCGUGGCAGACGGCCGGCCAAGGCUCGGGGAGGAGGGGGCAGUGGUGAAGAUCGAAGGAUGGGCGGACGCGAGGCGCAGGAAGGCGGGGGGGGGGACGACGGCCUGGGAGUGGACGACCGCUGUCGCAGGGGACGGUGCGUGAGGGAUGGUGAUGGGAAAGGAAGAACGGCCUAACGAGGCGCCAGCGGCCGCGUAAAGAGUCGGACGCGCAGACGUCUGAAC